GGAUCAAUUGAUUGGUCAUGCUUUAGUAUGUACUGGUCAUAUUGGUUCUCACCUUCUAAUGAACCAUAAUGUCAUUCAUUUGAUGUUAUGGGGAAUUAGGACUGUUACCUUGAAAAAAUUAGAGUGUUUAAAGCAGGCUCACGCUUGAAUACAUUAGCAUGGAAUAACGAAAUAGGACGU
rnacentral:rRNA from 1 species